rnacentral:rRNA from 1 species
UACAGAGGGUGCAAGCGUUGUUCGGAAUUAUUGGGCGUAAAGAGCUUGUAGGCGGUUUGUCGCGUCUGCUGUGAAAUUUCGGGGCUCAACCCCGAACUUGCAGUGGGUACGGGCAGACUAGAGUGUGGUAGGGGAGACUGGAAUUCCUGGUGUAGCGGUGAAAUGCGCAGAUAUCAGGAGGAACACCGAUGGCGAAGGCAGGUCUCUGGGCCACUACUGACGCUGAGAAGCGAAAGCAUGGGGAGCGAACAGG